CGAACGGGUGAGUAAUACAUCGGAACGUGUCGAGAAGAGGGGGAUAACCACCCGAAAGGGUGGCUAAUACCGCAUAAAUUCUGAGGAAGAAAGCUGGGGACCUAGGAAUAGGCCUAGCGCUUUUUGAGCGGCCGAUGUCGGAUUAGCUAGUUGGUGAGGUAAAGGCUCACCAAGGCGAAGAUCUGUAGCGGGUCUGAGAGGAUGAUCCGCCACACUGGGACUGAGACACGGCCCAG
rnacentral:rRNA from 1 species